UACAGAGGUGGCAAGCGUUGUUCGGAAUUAUUGGGCGUAAAGCGCACGUAGGUGGUCUACUAAGUCGGGUGCGAAAGCCCUGGGCUCAACCCAGGAAGUGCACUCGAAACUGAUAGGCUUGAGUAUGGAAGAGGGUCGCGGAAUUCCCGGUGUAGAGGUGAAAUUCGUAGAUAUCGGGAGGAACACCAGUGGCGAAGGCGGCGACCUGGGCCAAUACUGACACUGAGGUGCGAAAGCGUGGGGAGCAAACAGG
rnacentral:rRNA from 1 species